rnacentral:rRNA from 1 species
AUGAGUAGCACAAGCUGUGCAAUCUUAAGUUGGAACAUCAGGGGACUGAACACACCAGCCAGGCGAACUGCCGUGCGAUAGAUAGCAGAGGCGCAGCGAGCAAGCAUUCUCUGUCUGCAGGAGACUAAGUUAGAAUCUUGGACGCCCAGUAUUGUUACAGAGCUGGGAGGAACCAGAUUGGAAGGGUGCACUGUUCUUUCAGCGAUCGGCACUAGAGGAGGAAUUGCUGUUCUCUGGGACAAGAGCUUAGUCAGUUUUGCGACACACGCAGUCGGAAAUUUCUCAAUCACCAAAAAAGUGUCUCUGAUCCAGGACAGAGUUGAUUUUUGGCUUACAACUGUCUACGGGCCUAUGGAUGACACGCGAAAAGAUGACUUCCUUGCCGAAAUGGCUCAUGCUGCACCACCACAAGGAGAACCCUGGCUGCUAAAUGGAGAUUUCAACAUCAUAUAUGAAGCCCGUGACAAAAACAAUCUCAACCUGAACAGGAGGACCAUGGGCAUGUUCAGAUCAGCGAUCGACAGAGUAGGCUUAAAAGAGAUCAAAUGC